rnacentral:rRNA from 2 species
AGGGGGCAAGCGUUAUCCGGAUUUACUGGGUGUAAAGGGAGCGUAGACGGUAAAGCAAGUCUGAAGUGAAAUGCCAGUGCUCAACACUGGAACUGCUUUGGAAACUGUUUGGCUGGAGUGCAGGAGAGGUAAGUGGAAUUCCUAGUGUAGCGGUGAAAUGCGUAGAUAUUAGGAGGAACACCAGUGGCGAAGGCGGCUUACUGGACUGUAACUGACGUUGAGGCUCGAAAGCGUGGGGAGCAAACAGGAUUAGAUACCCUGGUAGUCCACGCGGUAAACGAUGAUUACUAGGUGUCGGGGGGUUAUAACCCUUCGGUGCCGCCGCAAACGCAAUAAGUGAUCCACCUGGGGAGUACGUUCGCAAGAAUG